GGGAGGAUCGCUUGAGCCCUGGAGUUCGAGACCCGAGACCAGCUUAGGCAACAUAGCGAGACCCCGUCUCUA
rnacentral:miRNA from 1 species